CCUACGGGGGGCAGCAGUGGGGAAUAUUGCACAAUGGGGGAAACCCUGAUGCAGCGACGCCGCGUGAGUGAAGAAGUAUUUCGGUAUGUAAAGCUCUAUCAGCAGGGAAGAAAAUGACGGUACCUGAUUAAGAAGCCCCGGCUAACUACGUGCCAGCAGCCGCGGUAAUACGUAGGGAGCAAGCGUUAUCCGGAUUUAUUGGGUGUAAAGGGUGCGUAGACGGGAAAGCAAGUUAGUUGUGAAAUCCCUCGGCUUAACUGAGGAACUGCAACUAAAACUACUUUUCUUGAGUGCUGGAGAGGAAAGUGGAAUUCCUAGUGUAGCGGUGAAAUGCGUAGAUAUUAGGAGGAACACCAGUGGCGAAGGCGACUUUCUGGACAGUAACUGACGUUGAGGCACGAAAGUGUGGGGAGCAAACAGGAUUAGAUACCCUGGUA
rnacentral:rRNA from 1 species